ACCUGAGGGAUAGCUCAGUCAGUAGAGCAUGAGACUCUUAAUCUCAGGGUCAUGGCUUUGAGCCCCACAUUGGGCA